rnacentral:rRNA from 2 species
UGGGUCAGCGACUUAUAUUCUGUAGCAAGGUUAACCGAAUAGGGGAGCCGGAGGGAAACCGAGUCUUAACCGGGCGUUAAGUUGCAGGGUAUAGACCCGAAACCCGGUGAUCUAGCCAUGGGCAGGUUGAAGGUUGGGUAACACUAACUGGAGGACCGAACCGACUAAUGUUGAAAAAUUAGCGGAUGACCUGUGGCUGGGGGUGAAAGGCCAAUCAAACCGGGAGAUAGCUGGUUCUCCCCGAAAGCUAUUUAGGUAGCGCCUCGUGAAUUCAUCUCCGGGGGUAGAGCACUGUUUCGGCUAGGGGGCCAUCCCGGCUUACCAACCCGAUGCAAACUGCGAAUACCGGAGAAUGUUAUCACGGGAGACACACGGCGGGUGCUAACGUCCGUCGUGAAGAGGGAAACAACCCAGACCGCCAGCUAAGGUCCCAAAGUCAUGGUUAAGUGGGAAACGAUGUGGGAAGGCCCAGACAGCCAGGAUGUUGGCUUAGAAGCAGCCAUCAUUUAAAGAAAGCGUAAUAGCUCACUGGUCGAGUCGGCCUGCGCGGAAGAUGUAACGGGGCUAAACCAU